AAACAAUCAAGGAGGCCACGAGGCAGGGGCCGCGCCCACCCCCUGGGCGCGCCCUCCACCCUCAUGGGCCCCUCGUUGCUCCACCGACCUACUUCUUCCUCCUAUAUAUAUCCAUAUACCCCGAGAACAUCCAGGAGCACCACGAAACCCUAUUUCCACCGCCGCAACCUUCUGUACCCAAGAGAUCCCAUCUUGGGGCCUUUUCCGGAGCUCCGCCGGAGGGGGCAUUGAUCACGGAGGGCCUCUACAUCAACUCCAUGGCCCCUCCGAUGAUGUGUGAGUAGUUUACUUCAAACCUUUGGGUCCAUAGCUAGUAGCUAGAUGGCUUCUUAUCUCUCUUUGGAUCUCAAUACAAAGUUCUCCUCGAUUCUCUUGGAGAUCUAUUCGAUGUAAUCUUCUUUUGCGGUGUGUUUGUCGAGAUCCGAUGAAUUGUGGGUUUAUGAUCAAGUUUAUC
rnacentral:rRNA from 1 species